GCCGAGGUGGCGGAACUGGCAGACGCGCUGGACUCAAAAUCCAGUGCCCCGAAAGGGGCGUGUGGGUUCGAUUCCCUCCCUCGGCACCA
rnacentral:tRNA from 1 species